UAAACUUACUGCUACUUUUAAUCAAAUUUACACAUGCAAGCAUCCACACACCAGUGAAAUACGCCCUAACACAGUAUAAAUGGAGCAGGUAUCAGGCACAACUGCCAGCCAAAAACACCAAGCUUUGCCACACCCACACGGGCCAUCAGCAGUGAUAAACAUUAAGCAAUAAGCGAACACACCAAACUAAAGCUUGACUUAGUUAUGAUUAACAGGGCCGGUAAACCUCGUGCCAGCCACCGCGGUUAUACGGUGGGCCCAAAGCAGCAGACCCUCGGCGUAAAUAGUGGCCAGAAUAAUUACCCCCACAUUAAAAACUAAACCAUACCCUAACCGUAAAACACAGGCUAAAUGAAAUCAAGCACUUUUAAUAGCAGGUAAUUUGACCCACGAAAACUAAGAAACAAACUAGGAUUAGAUACCCUACUAUGCUUAGUCGUUAAUAUGAUAUCAUAAUACUAAAAUAUCCGCCAGAAAACUACGAGCGAAAAGCUUAAAACUCAAAGGACUUGGCGGUGCUCCAUACCGACUUAGAGGAGCCUGUCCUAUAAUCGAUACCCCACGCUAAACCU
rnacentral:rRNA from 1 species